UCUUUUAUGGUUGAUGCAGAACUCAUAAUUUUUUGGCAGGACAAUUUCUCUGUGACCGAGUUGCUGGCCAUGAUCAAGAUUCACUCCUGGUUGUGGUUCGAUUCUUUUAUAGGAAGUAGUUUAUUUUUUCUUUCUUUCUUUCUUACGAGUUGUAUGAAUCUAGUUGCUUAAACUCCUCUUAACUCGUUUACAGUUUUGCAAGUCUGGUUGGAUGUUGAACAAUCUAUGCUUAGGUGUUGCAACAUGCAAUACGUUCUCGAGAAUGACAUUGCUUUUAGGCCCUACAAGUUCUGGGAAAAACACACUCCUGUUGGCUGGAAAACUUGAUCCAUAAUUAAAGACUUUUACUAGUGGAAUUGCCGAGAAGAGAAAGAGGCAAAUAUCAAGCAUGAUCUACAUAUUUAUUUUAUGGGUUGUAGGUGAUAACAGCAAACAGAACAGCUAUUUCUAAUCUCAGUUACAUUGGCAGUUGGUUAUGUUGAAAUCAAGUGCAUCUUAUAUUUCUUUUCCAUAAAAAUAGAAAUGAAUGAUAAUUAAGUGGUUGUUCUUUGACUCAAUGCUCACUAAGGCUAUAGCAUCCGAAGGCUAGAGGGCAAAUUUGAUAACAGAUCAUGUCCUAAGGAUUUUAGGACAAGAGAUUUGCACUGAUACAUUGUAGGAAAUGCAAUGUUAAGAGGCAACUCUGGUGGACAAAGGAAAUGUGUUACGACAGGUCUAAGAGCCACCCAGCUGCAUGGACAACUGGAGAGUAUGGAUUGGAGUCGGAAAAUGGGAGCUGUUAAAAGCUUGUUUAUCAAGAAAAUAUUUUCUACAGUACACCUUCAAGCUUUGCCAACUUGUUGUAUUUGGUAAUUAUUGCCAUGACUCAUGGAGGCAUAUAUGUGGGUACAUUGUUCUAUGGUGUUGUUGUGACUUGUGACAAUGUUUAAUGGAUUGGCUGAAGUUUCCAUGGUCGUUUCAAGGCUUCCUGUUUUCUACAAGCAAAAGGGACUGUCGACGCUUCUUGGGAUAUUCCUCACUUAUGUUAUUGGUUUUGAGCAUAUGUUUGAAGGUAAAAACAAGUAUGUUUUGACACAUACUUCAGCAACAUUGUGAAUUAAUGUUUUCUGCCUUGUCUCGUUUUCUCUGAGUCCUACUAAUAAAAAUCAAAUGGCUCUAACACUUGGGUCGUUUACAC